AUAAGUCCAAUGUGUUGGACAAAGGGUUUUGUGUAGUGUCUGUUCUUAUCAGUUUAAUAUCUGAUAUGGUCUUGACCUGAGAAUUUGAUAUAAAAUGAUUUUUUGCAUCAGGGGUUGGGAACAGCAGCUUGCUCUGUCCACUCUGUGCAUUGGCCUGGUAUUUUUGCAGUGCCUCCAGGAGUGGGGAAAAAAAG
rnacentral:snRNA from 1 species